UACGGAGGGAGCUAGCGUUGUUCGGAAUUACUGGGCGUAAAGCGCACGUAGGCGGUUAUUCAAGUCAGAGGUGAAAGCCCGGAGCUCAACUCCGGAAUAGCCUUUGAAACUAGAUAACUUGAAUCCAGGAGAGGUGAGUGGAAUUCCGAGUGUAGAGGUGAAAUUCGUAGAUAUUCGGAAGAACACCAGUGGCGAAGGCGGCUCACUGGACUGGUAUUGACGCUGAGGUGCGAAAGCGUGGGGAGCAAACAGG
rnacentral:rRNA from 1 species